AGCCGCGAUGGCGUAGUGGUAACGCGCGCCCUUAGUAUAGGCGGAACGCGGGUUCAGCUCCCGACUGAGGUCG